ACGGAAGGCAGCAGUGGGGGAUAUUGGACAAUGGGGGAAACCCUGAUCCAGCGACGCCGCGUGAGUGAAGAAGUAUUUCGGUAUGUAAAGCUCUAUCAGCAGGGAAGAAAAAGCGAAAGCAUUGACUGUACCUGACUAAGAAGCCCCGGCUAACUACGUGCCAGCAGCCGCGGUAAUACGUAGGGGGCAAGCGUUAUCCGGAUUUACUGGGUGUAAAGGGAGCGUAGGCGGCGGAGCAAGUCAGAUGUGAAAGCCCGGGGCUCAACCUCGGGACUGCAUUUGAAACUGUUCUGCUAGAGUAUCGGAGAGGUGAGUGGAAUUCCUAGUGUAGCGGUGAAAUGCGUAGAUAUUAGGAGGAACACCAGUGGCGAAGGCGGCUCACUGGACGAUAACUGACGCUGAGGCUCGAAAGCGUGGGGAGCAAACAGGAUUAGAUACCCUGGUA
rnacentral:rRNA from 1 species